rnacentral:lncRNA from 1 species
UGAACUUUUGUGGCAGAAUGCAGAAAAUGCUUAAAAUCUAUAUUUUAUAUAUUAUUCAGUAUCAUACAUCUUAACAAAUUUUUAAAUACCAGGAAUUUAAUUGUUAAUUUCAAAAACGUGAAAUCAAAAUUAGAAGUUUUUAAAAUGUUCAGUAAAUAUGGAUCUAAAGAUGAUUUAAAUUAUAAAUCUGAUAUUAAAGAAGACUUUGAAGACAUUGAUGCAAACAAACAAACUUCCAAAAAUAAAGAAAAUACUUCUCAAAAACAACAAAGCUUGCCACCUUCAAAACCUCCAAGGCGUAAAUAUUCUGGUCAGACCACAUUACAGAAAGGUAUUUAUUUGGAUUAUUAUAAAUAUUUAAUGAAAACAGUUAUGGCUUUUAGUAAAUUUUAAUAAUAAUAUGC